AUAAAGAGCUGAUGUUUCUUUCAGGCCAAGACCUCUGGGAAGUUCUCUGAUGAGGAGUUGGAUAAGCUUUGGCGAGAAUUUAAGCAUCACAAAGAAAAGAUUCGUGAAUACAAUAUUCUGCUGGAGACUGUGAGCAGAACAGAAGAUAUCCACAAAAAUGUUAUCAAUCCAUCUGAGGAGAACAUGGUGAAAGAGGAAAUCUUGCACAACAAACACAGAGAACUCAAGGAGAAGUUAAGAAGCAUCAAUCAGGGGUUUGAGCGUUUACGUAAAGUCAGUCACCAGGGAUAUG